AUGGAAUUUUCUAUUAAUUUGGAAUAAUACUUUGAAUUCGCCUAUUCAGAUCAUCUAUUUGAAAUGAAUUUUCAAAAUGCAUUUCAAAUAGUUGAUGUGAAAAAGUCAAACACAAUAAAAGAAUGAAUGGAAUACCAAUCCAGCCAUGUGUACGAUGCAUUCAUUCAUACAAGACCUUGCAAGGUCGCGAAUGAAUGAAAUGCAUCACACCAAAUGUGGCAGGCCAACGCCCUCACUUCGCAACAAGGAAGGCAGAGCGUUGAGCCGACCUUGACACAGUGAGCGAUCGCCCGAUGUUGUCAGCUCAUGCGCAUGCUUGCGCGUGCGUACACACUUCAUUCUAUAAAACACAUUUUAAUUUUUCUUAUCACUCAAUGCAACUUGGAGAGUUAGUGAUUGAGUUCUCUACACGUAUACUAGUGUGAUAGGUUAUAAAAUCAUACAAGAGAGAGAUCUUGCGCUCAACAGAUUCACUACUCAAAACUGUGACUAAUAACUCGCAAAUUCUCUGACAUGAGAGAGUGAUCUUGCGCUCAACAGAUUCACUACUCAAAAAAUGCUUGUACGAGUGAGAUAGAAACACAAAGGAGGCGUGUAUCACAAUUGGCGAACACUGCCGAUACUCCCCAGAGCUUUAGCACGAUGAUAACAUUUGAUUCAUUUUCUCACCCCACAACUCGGUCUCAUAAGCAAUUGUGCUCUCGUGAAGGAACCUUACCUGCAUCUAGAAAAUCAUAGCCGAGGAGCUACCUGAACCGAGUCGAGGAGCUGAGAGAAGUCGAUUAUUUCAUUUCGUCAAAUCAACACAUAUAUGAGCUCUCGAACGGAAAUCAUUUGAUGAAUAUAUAAGCUCAGUAUAUUAUAAAUAGGCAUUUUAAUGAAUUACGUAAAUAUGAUUCUGUUUCUUUAGAAAAAAUGGCGAGAAUACAAAGUUAUCGUUGUGAACUAACUGAAC